rnacentral:lncRNA from 10 species
AAAACCAAGCCACAGCAUUAAUUGGCUUAAUCUAAUUAUACAAUCUACAAUUAAGCCUUAACAUAUUUCAGAUUGCUAGUAUCAUUGGAAAUACCAACCAAAUGAUUAUCGUCAUUGCCCCAGGAAAAGAUGAAGGUUGUAACUUUGAAAGAUCUGGUAUGCAAGCCACAGACUUAUAACUCAUGUAAGCUGUUUCUCAAAUAUCUGCCCAGUGGUGCUGGUGAGAGCCCGAUGAAAAUGCACAAAGAGUGACACAACCUGGCCACCACUAAGAAGUAAAGAGCUCAGUGAUUUCUCAUCUAUUCUUUCACAGCUACACACCAAUGAAAACAAACACCCGAAACCGUCUUCUGUGGCAUUUGUCAGUUGAAAAAGAACACCUUAGACUUAACUUUUAAAAUGUCUGUAAUAAAAAUAUAAUUCCAUUUUCUUUUCUCGUUUGGUUCUGUUAUGCUCAGUGUUACUUGUGACAGAUAAAACAUUAUUUACAAC